GCGGAGACGGCAGGCCCUCCCGACCCGCAGCGGUGCCGGCGCAGGAAGAAUGGCGAGCUCCUUCCCCCGGCGCCGCGGCGGGGCGGAAGAAAGCCGACCUGCUGGCUUCCCGACCUUUUGAGCCAAGAGACCUCUUCCACAAGCUUCCUCAGGGCCAGGUUCUCGAGCGACACUCUGAAGGUGGCGUUUUUAAUCAGCAGGUGGGCGCCGAGGAAGCAGGCCUGUGGCGGCCAACGGUAGGAAACCUCCGGCCGCGACCGGCGGGUCCUGGCGGCCGCUGCGCGCCCCUCGAGUCCGGCCUGCCUGGCCUCGUUUCGCACAGAGCUCUCCAGCCCCAAGUUACCGUCCCCGAGCCUCGCUUGAGCCGAGCUUGGCCGUCUGCUCACGCCAGUGCCUGUGCAUUGCUGAGAACCCAGCUCCAGCCUGGGGACCUGGACCAAGGCCUGCUGUAGCACAUGUUUUGGCCACCACAGGCCCAAAGCAACAGGCCCAAAUGGCUGUGGAUGGAAACCUCCAAGAUGAGAUUGGAUCCAACACAUGGAGAACACCUUACCAGACCAUGUCCGCACCACAGCACCAGGUGUAAGAACAAUCUAUAUAGACUAUCUGACUCCACUCUCUCGCAUUAUUAUCAUUAUUAUCCCAUUGUGUAAAUAAGAAAACUGAAAUCUUAAGCUUCUUAUCUUUAGGGUGUUUUAAACACUUUAUUUAACUGUAA